rnacentral:rRNA from 1 species
UACGUAGGCGGUCUGUUAAGUCAGAUGUGAAAGCCCCGGGCUUAACCUGGGAACUGCAUUUGAUACUGGCAGACUAGAGUAUGGUAGAGGGGGGUAGAAUUCCUAGUGUAGCGGUGAAAUGCGUAGAUAUUAGGAGGAAUACCAGUGGCGAAGGCGGCCCCCUGGGCCAAUACUGACGCUGAGGUACGAAAGCGUGGGUAGCGAACA